rnacentral:rRNA from 1 species
GUGUCAGCCGCCGCGGUAAUACGUAGGGUGCGAGCGUUAUCCGGAAUUAUUGGGCGUAAAGAGCUCGUAGGCGGUUUGUCGCGUCUGUCGUGAAAGUCCGGGGCUUAACCCCGGAUCUGCGGUGGGUACGGGCAGACUAGAGUGCAGUAGGGGAGACUGGAAUUCCUGGUGUAGCGGUGGAAUGCGCAGAUAUCAGGAGGAACACCGAUGGCGAAGGCAGGUCUCUGGGCUGUAACUGACGCUGAGGAGCGAAAGCAUGGGGAGCGAACAGGAUUAGAUACCCUGGUAGUCCAUGCCGUAAACGUUGGGCACUAGGUGUGGGGAACAUUCCACGUUUUCCGCGCCGUAGCUAACGCAUUAAGUGCCCCGCCUGGGGAGUACGGCCGCAAGGCUAAAACUUAAAGGAAUUGACGG